rnacentral:rRNA from 1 species
UACGGGGGGGGCAAGCGUUGUUCGGAAUUACUGGGCGUAAAGGGCUCGUAGGCGGCCAACUGAGUCAGACGUGAAAUCCCCAGGCUCAACCUGGGAACUGCGUCUGAUACUGGAUGGCUUGAAUUCGGGAGAGGGAUGCAGAAUUCCAGGUGUAGCGGUGAAAUGCGUAGAUAUCUGGAGGAAUACCGGUGGCGAAGGCGGCAUCCUGGACCGACAUUGACGCUGAGGAGCGAAAGCUAGGGGAGCAAACGGG